rnacentral:tRNA from 1 species
UAAUUAAGUGGUUAGAGUGCCUGUUUUACACACAGAAGGUCGGAGGUUAGAGACCUCC